CAGAGGACAAUGAAACACGGGCAAAGAGAGUCGAGAGGAGCUGAAGUCAGUGCAUCUGCUCCUGAACUCCUCCGUCCCAUCAUGGCUCAAUCAGGAUCUCAAUCACCAGAUGAUGCUUUGCACGGGAGUUUGUGUUUCAUCACCCAAAGCAGUCCGGCUCUCUGAGCGUGAAGAAGACUGAGGUGAUGAAGAGGGGUUUGUUUUCCUCAGACGUGCUCCUCAUCCUCCUGCCCUCUCUGCUCGCCUCACACGCUCUGACGCUGGGUCUGGGAAUUUACAUAGGGAAACGGUUGGCCUCCUCCUCCAGCAGCACACUGUGACAUGUGACAUUUGGCAGCUCACUGAUUGGCUGAGGCCGCUGCCACUAGCACUGUAGCCCAAUCACGC